GUCGGGUGUUGGACGUCACAGAUGGUCCUAUGUUCCACAUGUAAAUUAACCCAGAGGCACCACUCAGACAACCAGCCAUUUAGUGAUGAUAAUCUGCUAUAAAUCUCAUCACCACGGAAGCGGCCCUGAUACGAUGAUCCUCGCCAUUGGCGAUGCGUUGC